AGAACUCUAUCAGGUCUUUGGACACCAGUCCACCCCUCACUCUGGAAGUUCAGCUCCAUUGCUGUAGCUGAGGUUGCAAAGACAAAGCACCCCACAUAGGUGGGACUUGUGUUUUCCACAUAAAGGACAGCAAACAAGUGCGCACUGUGCUGAAAAGAGACAGCCCUGUAUAGGCCACAGACUCCCAAAUACAGGUAACCAGGUAGAUCUCUCAGCAUCCCCAGAGGCAGCUGUGUUCUCAAAUGUCAUGCAGGUCACAAUCAAAGCCUACAGCAGCAGGGACCAUCAGAAAGCAAGCUGUAGCCCUCACAGGGCUCCUGUGCAUGAUAGAUAUCAACAUAACAGGUGCAUCAAUAUGGCGCUGCAAUGAUGGGGAAAAUGGCACUUCUGGCUUUUAUGCAGCUUUUUCAGCCACAAAAAUCCUGUGAGAAUUCACUCCUUUCUGAUGUUUUCAAAAAUUCACAUUGCCACUGAAAUUGCUCAAUAAAAUUUGUAUGG